rnacentral:rRNA from 1 species
AUUGAACGCUGGCGGCAGGCCUAACACAUGCAAGUCGAGCGAGCGGCGGACGGGUGAGUAAUGUAUGGGAAACUGCCCGAUAGAGGGGGAUAACUACUGGAAACGGUAGCUAAUACCGCAUACUAUCGGAUGUACCCAUAUGGGAUUAGCUAGUAGGUGGGGUAAUGGCUCACCUAGGCGACGAUCCCUAGCUGGUCUGAGAGGAUGACCAGCCACACUGGGACUGAGACACGGCCCAGACUCCUACGGGAGGCAGCAGUGGGGAAUAUUGCACAAUGGGCGCAAGCCUGAUGCAGCCAUGCCGCGUGUAUGAAGAAGGCCCUAGGGUUGUAAAGUACUUUCAGUGGGGAGGCGUUACCGGCAGAAGAAGCACCGGCUAACUCCGUGCCAGCCGCCGCGGUAAUAC